rnacentral:rRNA from 1 species
UGGGGAAUCUUGCACAAUGGGGGCAACCCUGAUGCAGCGACGCCGCGUGAGCGAUGAAGCCCUUCGGGGCGUAAAGCUCUUUCGACCGGAACGAUAAUGACGGUACCGGGAGAAGAAGCUGCGGCUAACUACGUGCCAGCAGCCGCGGUAAUACGUAGGCAGCAAGCGUUGUUCGGAGUUACUGGGCGUAAAGAGUGCGUAGGCGGUUUUCUAAGUUCGGUGUGAAAUCUCCCGGCUUAACUGGGAGGGUGCGCCGAAGACUGGGAAGCUGGAGUGUGGGAAAGGCAGGCGGAAUUCCUGGUGUAGCGGUGAAAUGCGUAGAUAUCAGGAGGAACACCGGCGGUGUAGACGGCUUGCUAGACCAUAACGGACGCUGAGGCACGAAAGCGUGGGUAGCAAGCA